GUCCUCAUAGCUUAAUGGAUAGAGCACUGGUUUCCGGAACCAGCGAUGGAGGUUCGAGUCCUCUUGAGGACG
rnacentral:tRNA from 1 species